AGUGUUACACUGAGUCCUCUCAGACCAUUUAAAGGAGAUACCUAUAGUCAGCUUGGAUUGAACAAGGUGGAGUCAUUGCAUUAAUCUGGAAUCCAAGAUCAGAUUGCAGAACUGAAAAGAAGAAGAAAUGCUUUCUUUAAUGAUUGGACAGAGAUAAUUGAGGAACUGAAGUGUACUGGAUACCACCAUUUAAAGGAAAGAUACCGGCUCUCUAUAAACCCAUUGUGAAAGACUGGAGUAUUGAAUUUGCCCAGAAAUGUAGUGAUCAGAUAAGCGAU